rnacentral:lncRNA from 1 species
GUGUCCUAUCUAGAUUCUUCCACUGACUUGCUCUAUAGCAAUGCACAAGCUUUUUGAACUUCUUUUCCCUUCGAGUUCCCUAAGUUUCAAAGUUUAUAUUUUGUGACUUUUGACCUGAAUUGAGAUCCUAGAUCCGCCAUCUGGAGGAAUCGGCUGUUUGCCUGUUCCGUUGUUCAAUCAGAAAAAGAGGAACAGACAGCCAUUAACUUCUAAUCCACUUAAAGAUGAUUCAGGUAUCAGUACCCCUUCUGACAAUUAUGAUUUUCCUCCUCUACCUACAGAUUGGGCCUGGGAAGCUGUGAAUCCAGAGUUGGCUCCUGUAAUGAAAACAGUGGACACCGGGCAAAUACCACAUUCAGUUUCUCGUCCUCUGAGAAGUCAAGAUUCUGUCUUUAACUCUAUUCAAUCAAAUACUGGAAGAAGCCAGGGUGGUUGGAGCUACAGAGAUGGUAACAAAAAUACCAGCUUGAAAACUUGGAAUAAAAAUGAUUUUAAGCCUCAAUGUAAACGAACAAACUUAGUGGCAAAUGAUGGAAAAAAUUCUUGUCCAGUGAGUUCGGGAGCUCAACAACAAAAA